AAAUAAAUAGAGCAUUUUGAAACAAAUUAAAUUAAUCAGUUUAAGGGAUGUACACAAUUAUUUUAAAUCAGUCUGAACUAAAUCCAUACAACCUUAAAAGAGCUCAAUUCAUUUGUGUCGAAACAACAAAAAAUAAUGAUUCAAGUCAAACUACUACUUUUGCGCAUGCGCUAAUGACAGGAAAUCCACGUGACCUCGUCAGUUAUCGCGGGCGCCAUUAUGUGGUGGAGUCCAGUCCAUGGUGGAAUGCUGUAGAAUUGGUUUUUACAAGAGCUCAUUAAAUGAUAUCCUAUACUUGGGUUAUAGUCUACUUUUUCACAUGGUUUACAAGAGCAAUAAACAGCAUCCCAUGCUUGGGUUUUAGUAAACUUUUUCAUGUGAACAACAGCGUAGACAUGGAAAGAGAAUGCAUCCUCAAAAAGCACUGUGUGUAUACUUAGAGGACCAUCUACAGCUGUUCAAGGAGUACAAUAAAACGUGCAAAUACUGAGUUCUCUUUCAAGUCUUGUGCUUCAGAGGCCAAAUUCGUACAAAAAUUAUAUCAACAUGACUGUCUUGGAUUGCGACUGGAUGAAUUCUAAAGAAGCCAUAGAGCAGAUGGUAAUGGGGAUCUACAUCGUCCAAUUCAUAGACACCAACCAGGGGAUAAACCUGUGGACGUUGGUAUCCUGAUUGAAGGGACUGAGGUUCUCUGCUCUUUGAAGAACGUGUAGCAGUGGCCAUGCUGUUUGGACUUACUUACGCCUUGAACCUCAGCUACCCACAAGAACUCAAGGCUACAUUUGAGGUCCUCCAGAAAGUGUUCUUUAUCUUGGAUGGACAAAAACUUUCACUAAAGGUACCAGCCCUUAAGAACAAGAUGUUGGAGUAAGUUACCUUAUGUGUGUAUUCUCAAAAGACUAAAUCUUGACUCAAGAAGGUAUUAGCUGUGCAUAUACAUUGAAAUAUAAUGUUGUUCAUCUUGGAUGAUAUUUUUUUGUAUUUUUUUACCUGAAAAUUUGCCUUGAAAUAAGAAUAAAGAGAAACUUUUGACAUUCACUUUGAGAACAUUUUAUUUGUGCAGUAAAUUACAUUUUGAUAGACAUGUCAACAAUUAAACAUUUGUUUGAUGUAAAUAAAGUUGUACAAUUAACUUAACAAUAGUAGUUGACACAAUAUUUCUGGUUUUCUAAAUUAAGUGAUUAAGAUUAAUUGGCUCAACAAGAUUAAAUAGUUUAUAGAUAAAUACGAUAAUAUGAUUCAAAUGAAAAUGAUUUGAUCUUGUUGGUUCAAAAUGAAUUUUGCUCUUGGGUUCCAUUUGCCUAAAUUAAGUUGAGACAACACCAUUCAAAUGUGUGGAAAUAGGUGUCAUAAUUAUAUUAAGUUAGACCAACGAUUUAUUUUUUUGAGUGUGCUUCCAUUUAAUCUAAUAAACAAAAAGGAUGUGUGAGAACUUCUAAGACCUCCAACCACGCAAAAUCACACAGGCUUGGUCUUAAAAGGUUGUCAUUAAAGCACAAUGUUUUGUGUUGGAGGUUUC